rnacentral:rRNA from 1 species
GUGGAGACAGGUGGUGCAUGGUUGUCGUCAGCUCGUGUCGUGAGAUGUUGGGUUAAGUCCCGCAACGAGCGCAACCCUUACCUUCAGUAGCCAGCACAUAAUGGUGGGCACUCUGGAGGGACUGCCGGGGACAACCCGGAGGAAGGUGGGGACGACGUCAAAUCAUCAUGCCCCUUAUGGCCUGGGCUACACACGUGCUACAAUGGCGUAAACAGAGGGAGGCAGCCCCGCGAGGGUGAGCAAACCCCAAAAAUAACGUCCCAGUUCGGAUUGCAGUCUGCAACUCGACUGCAUGAAGCUGGAAUCGCUAGUAAUCGCGGAUCAGAAUGCCGCGGUGAAUACGUUCCCGGGUCUUGUACACACCGCCCGUCACACCAUGGGAGUUGGUAACGCCCGAAGUCAGUGACCUAACCGAAAGGGAGGAGCUGCCGAAGGUGGGACCAGUGACUGGGGUGAAGUCGUAACAAGGUAGCCGUAUCGGAAGGUGCGGCUGGAUCACCUCCU